rnacentral:rRNA from 1 species
CUUGGUCAUUUAGAGGAAGUAAAAGUCGUAACAAGGUCUCCGUUGGUGAACCAGCGGAGGGAUCAUUAGCGAGUUGUAAAACUCCCAAACCCUUGCGAACAUACCCAUUUGUUGCCUCGCCGCGGGCGCCCUCCCCCCUCGGGGGGCGAGCCGUCAGCGGCGGCGGCCCCACAAACUCUUGCAUGUACAGGCUUCUCUGAGUAAACUUAUAACAAGUCAAAACUUUCAACAACGGAUCUCUUGGUUCUGGCAUCGAUGAAGAACGCAGCGAAAUGCGAUAAGUAAUGCGAAUUGCAGAAUUCCGUGAGUCAUCGAAUCUUUGAACGCACAUUGCGCCCGCCAGUAUUCUGGCGGGCAUGCCUGUCCGAGCGUCAUUUCAACCAUCAAGCCCCCGGGCUUGCGUUGGGGCCCUGCAGCCGCUGCAGGCCCCGAAAGGCAGUGGCGGGCUCGCUAGCACACCGAGCGCAGUAGAUUUCUCUCGCUCUGGCCGCGCUUGCGGGUUCCAGCCGUGAAACACCCCCCUUCUCAAGGUUGACCUCGGAUCAGGUAGGAAUACCCGCUGAACUUAAGCAUAUCAAUAAGCGGAGG